UGUUGUUUUUAUUAAUUCUUUGAAAAGUCAUACAUUCAUACAAUGCAUUUGUGAUCAGACACACCCUGCCUUCUACGCCACCUCCUCCUAUGUCCAUGUCCCACUCUCCUAACUUCACGUUUUUUUUAAUAACCCACAGAGUUCAAUUUGUGCUCAUGCCAUCUACUCUAGUGUGGUCACCCCAUCAAGGGCAGCACCUUUAAGGGAGACUGACUAUUUGUAAGGUGAAAGAACAAGAUUUUAAGGCUUAAAGAUGGAAUUCAGUUUUCUAACCCAUUGACUUCAAGAUAAGAAAAAUUUUCUUGGGUUAUUAUCUAGGAGGGCUCAGUGCAAAGUAGGAAUGUUUCCAUUUUUCCCCCUUUGAGGUUUUGAUAAUUUGAGUUUGUGCGGAGAUAAAUUAAUUAAGGAAGAAGAACAUACAAACUUAUUAUACACUAAACAUGGGAGCCACACAGAUUCAGUGCAAGUCCCAAAGAAGGAGGGGCACAAUGGCUGAAUCCAACAUAGAGCUAAGCAAAGGCCGUUUAGGCUAUGGGGCAAUGGGGAUGACCUAGGACUUCAAGGGUGGAGUGGAGUGUUCACGGGGUGCAGAGGGAUCUCUGUCUUCAGUUGAAGCCUCCCAGGGCGAAGUGUCUGAUCUCCAGUCUCCAAAGGUCUUCUCUGGUCAGAGAAGAAGCUACCAAAAAAAAUCAUUAUGCAUCUCUGACUGUUCACUGGUGUGCAGUUUCUCUGACUAGCCACCUUGAUUUAAGGAAAAGCCAUGAAUAUUAGGAGACAUAUUUGGGGGUUUCAUGAUAUCUACAAAGGCCUUUCAAUGCGGAAAAGGGAGUCAAGGCAGUCUCAGAGACAGGUAGGUAGCUAGGUAGGUAGGUAGAUCGAUCAAUUGAUCGACCGGUAGAUAGAUAGAUAGGUAGGUAGAUAGAUUUGAGAGAUUUGUACUUGUUGCACUGCUGGCUCUGGAUAUGGAAAAAGAGAAGACAAGUCAAGAAAUGCCAGUGACCUCUAGAAGCAAGAAAAUGGGUUUGCCCUCUUAAUUAUAGACUAAAAGACCUAUUGCAGACUUCUGUUAUUCAGUGGUGUAAGGUAAUAUAUUUGUGCUGUUUUAGUCUACUCUGCAAUGUUAGAGCUUAAAAAAUUCAACAUUGAGGUCCUUUGAUUUAAAGGAAAAUGGAAGAGACUCUGGUCACUCUGGCUUCUCUAACCCCAAGGCUGGCCAAAAAGAAAUUCUCUGAAAUCCCCUAGAAAGUUGGUCAUUUGAAGCUCAUUCUAGAGGGGUUCUUCCCUACUCAUUGGGAGGAAACAGUAUGUUCAGUGAAGGGGAAAUGACUCCCUUACACCUUUCCAGGUUUGCUGGCCAGGGCCCAAGCUACAUUGACACAGAGUCGUCUAUCAGAAGGGAAAACCUUUCAGUUGCCUAUGAGCGUGCAAGAGUUCCACAAAGUAUGGCAGUUGAAGUCAUGUUGGAUGAUGGAAGCUGAACUAUAAAAAGAAGUAGUUUGUAUGUGUGUGGGGGCGUCUUCUGAGAAUUGUGGUCAUGAGUUAUAAGAGAGUGGAGGGAGGGAACGGGUGGGAGACUAGUUAUGCAGUUUAAAAGAUAUUCUUAGGUAAUAAUAGGUAAUUAUUACUAGGUGAUAGGUAAUUGUCGUGGUAUCAACCGCUAGUUUUUCCGCCUGCUACUCAAGUUCAUCUUCCCUGAUAAAUCUGAAGGUUGAGACAGAGAAUUUGUAACAGUUGAGUGCAUGUAGGGGCAUUUCUCUCCGAGCAGAUAGGGGGAGUUUGGAGAACACUCUGUGUCUGGUGUUCCCCAUAUGCCUUCAGUUCAAAAUAACAGUAGGCCAGCACCACAAAGUGUGGGGUGGUAUCACCUGAACUCCUUACCUACACAAAGAGGACAAGAAUCACAACAGCCUGGCUGAGUUUCCCUUAGCAUGUCACCAUUUGUCACAGCCUUUCAUCUAAUCACACUUCUAUACCACUGUCCCUUCUCCAGUGAAUCUAAGCACAGAAAUUUAUGAAAGGUCCUGAGAUCCAGAAGACUGAUUAGGGGGAUAGAGAGAUGAUGACUGGACAGUUAAAAGCCCUUGCCACUCUUGCAGAGGACCUGGGCUUGGCUCCCAGCAUUCACACUGGGCAGCUCACAAUCCACCUAUAACUCCACUUCCGGGGGAUUUGACAUCCUUUUCUGGCCCAUUGGCCCACAGGCAGACAAGUAGAAGCAUGCAUGCACACACACUUUUUUAAACCUUCUGACAAAUUAAAUCCAUCAUACUUUUCUCUGAUUAGCCUGCUUUUGUUAUAGGGAUGUUGUAUGAUAGGUGAGUAACAAACCAUGUACAGAAGACGGAAGAUAGGGAGAAUCAAGGCAACGAUGAGAAAAGAAAAGAGCCCAGCCAGCCUCUAGUCUUUUGUUGGCUGUGAGUCAAGAAUUUCAACACGGCUGAUGAAAUUUCCUGCAAAGUGCUAUCCUUUUUUUUUUUCUUUUCCUCUGAGAAAGUUGCACACAUAGUUCUGACCAUGUUAGUUACCAAGCGUACAUCUUGACCCUUGGAAGAUCUGUGUAGAGUAGGAACUCCUUUGACCUUUUAGACUGAGAUUUUAUCUUAUCAGCCAUCCCCUCUUAUCUGGAAACUUAAGCAAUGAAGUCAUAAAUCGACUUAUAAUCUCAUUUACAAGAAAACCCCACCUUUCCUAGAUAAGCAUACCCAAACACUGCUUUUUUCUUAAUCCAUUAUUUUUAGCUAGUUUUGUAGACUAGGUGGGUUUUUUUUUUAAAGAGUGUAACUCAAAAGUCAAGUAUCCCAUUGUGAAAUAGACACAGCCAUCGUUAAGACAUACCUUGUUCUCUUUUUCUCUACCGAAGCUGUACCUACCCUUUUGUACAUACACACUCUUGUCUUUUACUUCAGGCUUACCUUGAAAUUGUGUGUGUGUGUGUGUGUGUGUGUGUGUGUGUGUGUGAAGAUCCUGGCUACACCUGAGUGAUGAUCCUGGAAGGAAUUCUCAAGCUGCAGAACUGGUCACAUUGAGUUAUGUUUCCUGCUGCUGCUGACAGCUGGCUGAGGAGAAAAUAAGCAGAGGCAUUAAGUAGCCUACCUCACCAUUUCAAAGUGUUUUAUUCACCCCCUGCCUGGCCUGAGAAAGUACCAAAUUGAUUAUGUGAAAUAAUUUAUGUUCAUAAAGGUAAUUACAAUGUUCAUCAAGUAGGAAAUUUGCAAGCCUAGAAAAGAGAAAUGAUUAAAAAUAGUUGAGUAAGGCUAUGAGAAAAUUUAGAAGCUUCCUUGGACUCUAACAGUUGCAAGGCUUUAUUGCUUUCACAGUAAACAUUGUGAUCAUACCAUAGAUGUCUGUUAAAUAGCACUGUCUGGAGCCUGGGCCAGAUCCCGAGGUUAAGCUUAUUGCUUAGAUCAGGUCCCUAGGGAGUUUCCAUGCUCAAUUCAAUAUGUUCCAUCUACAGUGUGGUAGGAUUUUUGUUGUUAUACAAAUCACCACCAAACUUCAGGAGCAUGUGAGUUUUUACCAGAUGGGAUUUCACUAGAAAUGAAUUAUUUAAGGACUUGCUUACCUUGCAAAUAGCUGUCCCCACCAUUGCUUGAGACAGGUUUUUCCUGGUCUGGCUUUAUAAAUAGGAGGGUCUCCCACAGGAAAGUGUCCCAAGUACUGAUGGGACAUGUCCCAACUGUUCCUCUCCUUCCUAGGUGGCUUCGUUGGAAAUGGUUGCU
ensembl:lncRNA